CCUACGGGGGGCAGCAGUGGGGAAUAUUGGGCAAUGGGGGCAACCCUGACCCAGCAACGCCGCGUGAAGGAAGAAGGCUUUCGGGUUGUAAACUUCUUUGACGAGGGAAGAAAGCAAUGACGGUACCUCGAAAACAAGCCACGGCUAACUACGUGCCAGCAGCCGCGGUAAUACGUAGGUGGCAAGCGUUGUCCGGAUUUACUGGGUGUAAAGGGCGCGUAGGCGGGAGAACAAGUCAGAUGUGAAAUGUGGGGGCUUAACCCUCAAGCUGCAUUUGAAACUGUACUUCUUGAGUAUCGGAGAGGCAGGCGGAAUUCCUAGUGUAGCGGUGAAAUGCGUAGAUAUUAGGAGGAACACCAGUGGCGAAGGCGGCCUGCUGGACGACAACUGACGCUGAGGCGCGAAAGCGUGGGGAGCAAACAGGAUUAGAUACCCCAGUAGUC
rnacentral:rRNA from 1 species